rnacentral:lncRNA from 1 species
UUUUUUUGAUUUUUUGAUUUUUGUUUUACUUCAUUUUAUUUUCAUUAAUUCAUAUUAAUUUUAAUAUUGAUCCAAAAAAUAUGAAAGUUUCACCAAACGUUUUUAAAUAAAUUCCUCCUUCAUAUUCUGAAUUAAAAUUAUUUUUUGGAUCAUUAUUAAUAUUUUUCAUGAUUUAUUUUUAAUUUUUUUAAAAUACUUUUAAGUCUUUAAAAAUUCUGAAUUUUUUUCUCCAAGGUCCUUUGACCUUGUUUGACAUAUGAUAAAUCUCAU